CUGGGUGGAGAAUUCUGGGAAUUGAAGUCCACAAGUCUUAUAGAUGUCAAGUUUGGAAACCCCUGCUCUAACUCUACAUGAUUUGGUUUUUUUCAAGGAUGUUGCAGGUAACACCUCUGUCCAGAUGGAAGGAAGGCCUUGGGGCAAUCAGCUUUAAAAAGCCAAAAAAGAUGCAAAGUGCCCUUGGACUGAAGGGGUAGGAAUUAAAUGUGGAAUUUGGGGCACGAAUUGGAUGAGAGAUAAUUCUUACUCUGGCUUUUCUCACUCCUGGAGUUUACCCUUAUCUUGGAAUGAAGAGUAGCGAUUGAUUAAUCUCCUGUGGGCAUGGAGGUUCAAGUGGUGGGAGGUGUGCUUUCUUUCUGGAACAACCGGAUCUGAAUGGAGUUCUUUCACAGCUCUAAAACCUGAGAUGAUUUUAACCCCAAUAGAAGAGAGUAUCUGUAGCUCAGGGUUCAACUGUGAAGUCCUUGGUGCUCUCUGAGCUUGAUGGUUUGCUUGCAGACAUUUCAUUACCUGUCUAGUUAACAUCAUCUGUGCUAAUGAGUGCAGAGUUUGCUCCCUGUUCAUCUACAGUAGCUUGCCUUGCCGGUGUUGGUGGGGGAAUAUGACUUUCUCCUUGGUCCUUCUGCUGUGUAAUUCUUCUGCUACCCAAGGAUUUGACCAAGAUCUUCUGCAUGAAGACUCAGCUACCAAGUUACAUUCCAUCUAAUAGGAUUCGAGAAUAGAAGGUGGUGACCCAAUAGAAGGUGAUGACCCAUGCUUUACACCCAACAUGAAUGACUCCAAACAUCCUAAUGCUUCAUGGUCCCAAACCUUUGUGCCUAAUACACGGCCGGAAAAUGUGGCGGCGAGUCUUUGGAGGAGGCCUCUUCUCUGCAAUUCUUAGAGCAGUGUCUCCAAUGUUAGCCAUUUGAAGAUGUGUGGACUUCAACUCCCAGAAUCCCUCAGCCAGCAUUGCAACCCUGCCUGGAAAGAAGAUUGGUCACUCCUAAUUUUGCUAGUUUGAUGCCCCCUGAGGAUGGCCUUAUUAGGAAGCAGCCCAAAGCAGCCCACCUCACUGUGGGGAGGUAGCCCUUUUAUUAAUAUGGAUUUGCAUGUCCCCUUUGAAUGCUAAAGGCUCUUCUCAGGGCGCUUUUGAAUUGUUUU
rnacentral:lncRNA from 1 species